GGGUAUAACCAUCCAGUCUUUUGGGAUGUAAUAUUUCUGUUUUUGUUAUCUUAUCAUGUGAUGCAUUAGUUACUACCAUGAUAUAAGGUAGGUCACACCCAUUCGUUAGAUAUUACUGAAGGAAGAAUCCUAUUUAUCAAGUACUGUGCUAUUAGUUUGAACAUUAGUACUAUGCUAUGCAUCACAUGGAAAUUAGUACUGUGCUAUGCAUACAACAUAAGGAUGCUGAUUUUAGUGUUAAAGAAGUAGACUAAUUUUUCCUCGCUUGCAACUCUUAUGCAUAAUUACUGAUAUAUGAGACCUGAAAUUGUUUCUGUCAAGUGUUGGGUUCCUGUUAUGACUGAUUCCUUACCUGGUAUGCUGGAAAACCUGCAUAUAUAAUUUCAUUCUUAUGAGUGUACUGAGGCUAGAUUAUUUUGUCGCUCAAUUUGCAGGCUUUCUCCGUGAUUAAUAUAAAUUAUGCAAGGAUCAGAGGAAGGAGGGGAGCUGGCCUUCUUCAUGUCUCGGGGGAGUGUCUUCCUUGGAUUCAACAAGAAGGGGACCCGGCCUUCUUCAUGUCUCGUGCAACAAGGGUGAUCGACGCGGACUACCACAGCCCGGUGGGUGUCGUGCUCUUCAACCACUAGGAGGCGGACUUCGCCGUGAAGCCCGGAGACUGCGUCGUGCAGAUGACCAUCCAGGUGAUUGCGAAUUGCGACACCGGAGGUCGCCGAGGUGGAGGACCUCGACGCCACCGUCCGGCGGGAGGGAGGGUUCGGGUCCACCGGUAGUUGAACUCCGAGUCUUGGUAGAUACAUCUAGACAAGUGGUCUGGUUGUUUGCGUUUGGUGUUAAAUGGGAUAUCGUGAA